UUUUGGACAAUGGGCGCAAGCCUGAUCCAGCCAUGCCGCGUGAGUGAAGAAGGCCUUCGGGUUGUAAAGCUCUUUCGGCGGGGACGAAACGGUUCGUGCUAAUACCACGGACUACUGACGGUACCCGCAGAAGAAGCACCGGCUAACUACGUGCCAGCAGCCGCGGUAAUACGUAGGGUGCAGGCGUUAAUCGGAAUUACUGGGCGUAAAGCGUGCGCAGGCGGUUUGUUAAGACAGGUGUGAAAUCCCCGGGCUUAACCUGGGAAUUGCGCUUGUAACUGGCAGACUGGAGUGUGGCAGAGGGGGGUGGAAUUCCAAGUGUAGCAGUGAAAUGCGUAGAUAUUUGGAGGAACACCGAUGGCGAAGGCAGCCCCCUGGGCUAACACUGACGCUCAUGCACGAAA
rnacentral:rRNA from 1 species